rnacentral:rRNA from 1 species
GCAGUCGAGCGGUAGAGAGAAGCUUGCUUCUCUUGAGAGCGGCGGACGGGUGAGUAAUGCCUAGGAAUCUGCCUGGUAGUGGGGGAUAACGUUCGGAAACGGACGCUAAUACCGCAUACGUCCUACGGGAGAAAGCAGGGGACCUUCGGGCCUUGCGCUAUCAGAUGAGCCUAGGUCGGAUUAGCUAGUUGGUGAGGUAAUGGCUCACCAAGGCGACGAUCCGUAACUGGUCUGAGAGGAUGAUCAGUCACACUGGAACUGAGACACGGUCCAGACUCCUACGGGAGGCAGCAGUGGGGAAUAUUGGACAAUGGGCGAAAGCCUGAUCCAGCCAUGCCGCGUGUGUGAAGAAGGUCUUCGGAUUGUAAAGCACUUUAAGUUGGGAGGAAGGGCAGUUGCCUAAUACGUAACUGUUUUGACGUUACCGACAGAAUAAGCACCGGCUAACUCUGUGCCAGCAGCCGCGGUAAUACAGAGGGUGCAAGCGUUAAUCGGAAUUACUGGGCGUAAAGCGCGCGUAGGUGGUUUGUUAAGUUGGAUGUGAAAUCCCCGGGCUCAACCUGGGAACUGCAUUCAAAACUGACUGACUAGAGUAUGGUAGAGGGUGGUGGAAUUUCCUGUGUAGCGGUGAAAUGCGUAGAUAUAGGAAGGAACACCAGUGGCGAAGGCGACCACCUGGACUGAUACUGACACUGAGGUGCGAAAGCGUGGGGAGCAAACAGGAUUAGAUACCCUGGUAGUCCACGCCCGUAAACGAUGUCAACUAGCCCGUUGGAAGCCUUGAGCUUUUAGUGGCGCAGCUAACGCAUUAAGUUGA